UACAGAGGCCUCGAGCGUUAGGCGGAAUCACUGGGCUUAAAGCGUGUGUAGGCGGACUUCUAAGUACCUUGUGAAAUCCCACGGCUUACCCGUGGAACGGCUGGGUAUACUGGUUGUCUUGAGCCACUUAGGGGCUACCGGAACAAAUGGUGGAGCGGUGAAAUGCGUAGAUAUCAGUUGGAACGCCAAUGGUGAAAACAACUCGCUGGGGAAGUGCUGACGCUGAGACACGAAAGCCAGGGGAGCGAACGGG
rnacentral:rRNA from 1 species